rnacentral:rRNA from 1 species
UACGGGGGGGGGCAAGCGUUGUCCGGAUUUACUGGGCGUAAAGCGCGCGUAGGCGGCUUUGUAAGUUAGAGGUGAAAGCCCGGAGCUCAACUCCGGAACUGCCUUUAAAACUGCAUCGCUUGAAUCCAGGAGAGGUGAGUGGAAUUCCGAGUGUAGAGGUGAAAUUCGUAGAUAUUGGAAGAACACCAGUGGCGAAGGCGGCUCACUGGACUGGUAUUGACGCUGAGGUGCGAAAGCGUGGGGGAGCAAACAGGG